rnacentral:rRNA from 1 species
UUGAACGCUGGCGGCAUGCUUUACACAUGCAAGUCGAACGGUAACAGGCCGCAAGGUGCUGACGAGUGGCGACCGGGUGAGUAAUGCAUCGGAACGUGCCCAGUCGUGGGGGAUAACUACUCGAAAGAGUAGCUAAUACCGCAUACGAUCUAUGGAUGAAAGCGGGGGACCGUAAGGCCUCGCGCGCUUGGAGCGGCCGAUGUCGGAUUAGGUAGUUGGUGGGGUAAAGGCUCACCAAGCCAACGAUCUGUAGCUGGUCUGAGAGGACGACCAGCCACACUGGGACUGAGACACGGCCCAGACUCCUACGGGAGGCAGCAGUGGGGAAUUUUGGACAAUGGGCGCAAGCCUGAUCCAGCAAUGCCGCGUGCAGGAAGAAGGCCUUCGGGUUGUAAACUGCUUUUGUACGGAACGAAACGGCUCUGGUUAAUACCCGGGGCUAAUGACGGUACCGUAAGAAUAAGCACCGGCUAACUACGUG